ACAGGGGGAUAACAGUUGGAAACGGCUGCUAAUACCGCAUAAGCGCACAGCAUCGCAUGAUGCAGUGUGAAAAACUCCGGUGGUAUAAGAUGGACCCGCGUUGGAUUAGCUAGUUGGUGAGGUAACGGCCCACCAAGGCGACGAUCCAUAGCCGACCUGAGAGGGUGACCGGCCACAUUGGGACUGAGACACGGCCCAAACUCCUACGGGAGGCAGCAGUGGGGAAUAUUGCACAAUGGGCGAAAGCCUGAUGCAGCGACGCCGCGUGAGCGAAGAAGUAUUUCGGUAUGUAGAGCUCUAUCAGCAGGGAAGAUAAUGACGGUACCUGACUAAGAAGCACCGGCUAAAUACGUGCCAGCAGCCGCGGUAAUACGUAUGGUGCAAGCGUUAUCCGGAUUUACUGGGUGUAAAGGGAGCGCAGGCGGUGCGGCAAGUCUGAUGUGAAAGCCCGGGGCUCAACCCCGGUACUGCAUUGGAAACUGUCGUACUAGAGUGUCGGAGGGGUAAGCGGAAUUCCUAGUGUAGCGGUGAAAUGCGUAGAUAUUAGGAGGAACACCAGUGGCGAAGGCGGCUUACUGGACGAUAACUGACGCUGAGGCUCGAAAGCGUGGGGAGCAAACAGGAUUAGAUACCCUGGUAGUCCACGCCGUAAACGA
rnacentral:rRNA from 1 species